rnacentral:rRNA from 1 species
AAGAGACAGCAGUCGCCGCGGUAAUACAGAGGGUGCUAGCGUUAAUCGGAUUUACUGGGCGUAAAGCGUGCGUAGGCGGCUUCUUAAGUCGGAUGUGAAAUCCCUGAGCUUAACUUAGGAAUUGCAUUCGAUACUGGGAAGCUAGAGUAUGGGAGAGGAUGGUAGAAUUCCAGGUGUAGCGGUGAAAUGCGUAGAGAUCUGGAGGAAUACCGAUGGCGAAGGCAGCCAUCUGGCCUAAUACUGACGCUGAGGUACGAAAGCAUGGGGAGCAAACAGGAUUAGAUACCCGCGUAGUCCCUGUCUCUUAUAC